AUUUUGUUGGCUGAUCAUAAUUGAGUUAUAUAUAAAUAUAUAUAUAUAUAUAUAUAAAAGGAGUCUGACAAUAAAAAAAAAAAAAAAAUAAUAAUUGAGU
rnacentral:rRNA from 16 species